rnacentral:rRNA from 1 species
UACAGAGGGGGCGAGCGUUGUUCGGAAUUACUGGGCGUAAAGGGCGCGUAGGCGGCCCGCUAAGUCGAACGUGAAAUCCCCAGGCUCAACCUGGGAACUGCGUCCGAUACUGGAUGGCUUGAAUCCGGGAGAGGGAUGCAGAAUUCCAGGUGUAGCGGUGAAAUGCGUAGAUAUCUGGAGGAAUACCGGUGGCGAAGGCGGCAUCCUGGACCGGCAUUGACGCUGAGUGAGCGAAAGCCAGGGGAGCAAACGGG